UAAUUCUCUAUCUUCCGAUAGCUUUUCCAAGAUUUCUAAUUCAUCCUUAAUAAUAGACUUUGAUUCCCCUUCCUUGGCUAAAACCUCUCUUUUCCACGUUUUUAUACCCUCCCUAAUCACCUUCGAUUUGUGCAUAAUCGCCUUGUCAGGCUCUUCAGCCCCGAUAAAAUUAGCAAUCGCUUUAAGAACUACCUCAUCGAAAUCCUUUCUCUCAAACCACGAAUUGAAAAAUCUAAACGGCUUGGGUCCCCGUAGUUUUUAUCCGAGCAAGUCAAAACUAAAGGGCAGUGGUCCAAUAGAAAUCUCGGUAACGCCCGAAGGCAUGCCACCGGCCACUCAGAAAAGAACUCUUGACAGACCAAAACUCUAUCAAUCUUGCUAAGUUUAUUACCGUAAUCUAAAUGAAUAGUGUUUGACCUGGUGUUGUGUUUUGAUUGGAUUAUCUUGCCAUCGUGUCCUCAUCACCGCAAAACUAGCCACACGUUACAUUUGUGCCCACCAUAUAAAACCCUCAACCCUGCCCCACACCCACCAUCGGAAGGGAGAAUCCAUGAGGUGGUUACCGGCGGCCACACCUCCAGAUGAACAUCAAAAUUUAAGCAGACUUCAUCUUCAUCAUCUAAUUCAACACAUAUCGCCGCCCUAGGUAUAGAAAGAGGGAGCCGACCAUAGAAAAGGGAACUUCGGGGAAGUUUUUCCGAUUGUGUUGGCGCAUCAAUUGAGACCUCAGACAGUCGGCGGCUAGGGUUCAUGACUCGAAGGUGAUGACGGAGACGAUGUGGGUUAAGUUUCAGGCGAUCAAUGGUGUCAAACGAUGGUCGUUCAAAACAACUAGGCGAUCGGAGACAGUCAAAACAAGGGAACGCAUUCUGGUCACCUAUGGUUUAGGGUUUUGAACAUACCGACGAUUAGGAAGGCGAUAUGUUUGUUGAGUCCUGAGUUUUUCUGUUUGGGAUGAUGUUUUAUGUCGAGAUUAAAGGAUAUGGGAAUGAAUGCUCUUAGUACGUUGGGUUUCACUGUUAUCUUUUUUUCUGCCAAGUAAUGCAGAACAAUAUCAGAUCAAGUGAUCAGGUGGUGGUUUAUUUUUCAAGCAAGAUGGGUUCCAUGGUGAGGAUGGUUGAGAACGGGGUGGAGGUGGUGAGCAAACGACGGAGAAAGAAUAGGGGCCCGUGAUAGUGAUGGAAUCAUGGGUUGGAAUUGUAUAGGUACACAUAGAAAUAGCAAGGGAGCCAAUGAGGACAUCAUUAGUGGUGCUGAAAAAGGAGAAAACAACUGAUGGCGCAAUCGAACACCGUUUCUCCUUUGCUUAGUCUCCCUUCUUCACCUUUCCUUGCCGCGAGAUACCUAGAGCAUGCCUGAUUUUUGUUCACGGAUGCUUUAGAUGGUGGUUUAGGUGAGCUUCGGCGGCUACUAUGACCUGACUGUAAGAAUUCAUGCCUCCUUUGUUUCAAUAGGUAAAAGUGUUAUCAGUCUCAAUUCUCAACGAUUCGUUGCACGUAAUUAGGUUUCUAAUUUGAUAAAUUUAUGUGGGUUUCAGUCAAUUCAAAUUGUGUAAAGGAUGAGGUAUAGUUGUUAUGUAUUUCUUAUCUAUUACUUUUUAAUUAAACCCUACCUGUUUGUUGUAACAGGAGAGCAAACUGAAAUAACACCAGGAAAAUCUUUUGAAGGCAGAAUAUAAUGGUGACACCCCUCUUAUUCAUGCUGCAAGGCUAUUGCUAAAUACCUCAUUGAAAUGGGGUUGAUACUUCACUAUCGAGUGAGUUAGGGGCUAUGGCUUUGCAUCAUGUUGCCUGGAAUAGGGGAGUCUGGCACACUGCUGAUUUGGGCUGCUGGUCAUGGACAAGUAGAUGCUUUAAAACUUUUACUAAAAUACAAGGCUGAUCUAAGGCUUCAGUGAUGGUUUAGAGAAGAAAGCAACCAAUAAAAGGGAAGGAGAUGACCAUCCGUCGGUGGUUGUGUGAGUCGGAAUGUGCGUGUCAGCGUGUACAUGUUCUCUAGAGGGUGGUUUUGCACCCCCAAUUUCUCAAAUGUCUGUUCUUACAUUCCAAAUCGAUGAAAUUAAAGUUGGACUUUGAAAUCCGCUUCAACAUAUGCUUUUUGGCUAUGGAGAUUAACUUUUCUGGUGCAAAUUCAUGCUGAAUUUGAGGCUCUUUUACAUGGCAUGAUUUCGCUAUUUAUGUUUGUCUCUAAGGUUGCAUGCUAAAUGUUCAUAAUAACUGACAAGUACUCUGUAGAAUUGUUUUUAUUAAGGCUCUGUUGAUAAUAUUUGUUGUUGUAAGUUUUAUUGAAUACACAGUUAGUUAAAUUUAA